rnacentral:rRNA from 1 species
UACGAAGGGUGCAAGCGUUACUCGGAAUUACUGGGCGUAAAGCGUGCGUAGGUGGUUUGUUAAGUCUGAUGUGAAAGCCCUGGGCUCAACCUGGGAACUGCAUUGGAAACUGGCUUACUAGAGUGCGGUAGAGGGGUGCGGAAUUCCCGGUGUAGCAGUGAAAUGCGUAGAUAUGGGGAGGAACACCGGUGGCGAAGGCGGCGACCUGGUCCAUUACUGACGCUGAGGCGCGACAGCGUGGGGAGCAAACAGG